UAACGUGUUUCAGGGCAGGAGGGAAAUGCAAAUGUUGAAUCUACUUGCCUGGGAGUGCUCUGCUGCAAGAAGGGAAACAAGCUCUCCUGCACAUUGCUGACUGCUCUCUUUCUGUCUGAAAGUUCAGAAGGGUUGAACCACUGCCUGGCUGAGGAUGAAGAGUGGAAGAAAAAUAAAACUGGAAAAGGUGGUGUCAACUGAAAAACAACAAAGAGAGCAGCCAUUUCAAGCAGCCUGCAAACACCAAAGGACUGAGCUACCCUGCCAGAAAGCUCUUCCUGUGGCAUCACGUGACCCAUUCCCCCUCCAGGGGGAUCUCUUCUUCUAAUGGGCCAUUGAGUCUCACUGCAUGACUGAUAAAAUUACAUCAUCCCAUUGGGAGAUGCUCCACCCAGGGGGAGGAGCCAAGCAUUCCUACCUGGAUAUAAUCUGAGGCUUAGAACACCACAGUCAGCCUUUCUCUACUGGAUUCCCAGAGGAAGACUGGAUCCAUUUACACCACCACUGGACCU